ACACAAUUCAAGCUGCUAAACCAUGGCCCUUUGAAUCUGAAAGUUCCAUUUUGAUGGUACAGAACUUCAGUGAUCCAUUCAUACAAGUUGCCUCGGAGUCCGGUGACUAAAGACGGUAACAUUCUGAUGACCGGCCAUACAGAAGAGGUUCCAUACAACCAAUUUCUGAGAUGGGAAUUCGACAGAGGAGAUGACGGUGAGGUUGCCGGAGCUCAACAUGGUGAUAGGCAAACGCUAACAGAGAAAUGGUGCAACAACACACAUGAGAAAUAGCUACUCUUUAAGGUUGGUAUGUCUUUUAUGAGCGUUAUACAUUUAUAUAUAAUAUCGAGAUUUGUGUUUCUUGGGAAACUUGGUUUUGCUGAUUGUUUUGAUUUGGUGAGCUGAAAAAAAAAUAGCUGUCUGUGGUGUUUGCUUAGUCUGCAAAUUUAUUUCCAUAGCUGUGGGAGGUUUCUUGGGAUGGGGUUUAUGGAAUUUUAAGUCACUUUGUGGCAAAUGGGUUUCUUAAUUCUUUUUCUACCCACCCCUUUA